GUUCGAGCGUCAUUUAACCACUCACGCCUAGCGUGGUAUUGGGGCACGCGGUCUCCGCGGCCCUCAAAAUUAGUGGCGGCGCCGGUGGGCUCUAAGCGUAGUACAUACUCCCGCUAUAGAGUUCCCCCCGGUGGCUCGCCAGAACCCCCAAUUUUUUACAGGUUGACCUCGGAUCAGGUAGGGAUACCCGCUGAACUUAA
rnacentral:misc_RNA from 1 species